UACGUAGGAGACGAGCGUUGUCCGGAAUACUGGGCGUAAAGCGCGUGUAGGCGGACAGGCAAGUCUGCUGUGAAAGCUCCUGGCUUAACCGGGAGUGGUCGGUGGAAACUGCCCGUCUGGAGGACGGUAGAGGUAGGUAGAAUUCCCGGUGUAGUGGUGAAAUGCGUAGAGAUCGGGAGGAAUACCUGUGGCGAAGGCGGCCUACUGGGCCGGACCUGACGCUGAGACGCGAAGGCGUGGGGAGCGAACGGG
rnacentral:rRNA from 1 species